rnacentral:rRNA from 1 species
UGGGGAAUCUUGCGCAAUGGGCGAAAGCCUGACGCAGCGACGCCGCGUGAGUGAUGAAGGCCUUCGGGUUGUAAAGCUCUGUGGAGAGAGACGAAUAAGGGUUGGCUAAUAUCCAGCCCGAUGACGGUAUCUUUUUAGCAAGCACCGGCUAACUCUGUGCCAGCAGCCGCGGUAAGACAGAGGGUGCAAACGUUGUGCGGAAUUACUGGGCGUAAAGCGCGUGUAGGCUGCUACGCAAGUCGGGUGUGAAAGCCCUGGGCUUAACCUAGGAAGUGCACUCGAAACUGCGCGGCUUGAGUUCUGGAGAGGAAGGCGGAAUUCUCGGUGUAGAGGUGAAAUUCGUAGAUAUCGAGAGGAACACCGGUGGCGAAGGCGGCCUUCUGGACAAAAACUGACGCUGAGACGCGAAAGCGUGGGGAGCAAACAGG